rnacentral:rRNA from 1 species
GACGAACGCUGGCGGCGUGCCUAAUACAUGCAAGUCGAACGGUCUUUUCUAUGGAAGCUUGCUUCCACUGAGAAGAUAGUGGCGAACGGGUGAGUAACACGUGGGUAACCUGCCCAUAAGAGGGGGAUAACAUCCGGAAACGGGUGCUAAUACCGCAUAGUUUUCUUGAUCGCAUGAUUGGGAAAGGAAAGACGGCCUUUGUGCUGUCGCUUAUGGAUGGACCCGCGGCGUAUUAGUUAGUUGGUGAGGUAACGGCUCACCAAGACGAUGAUACGUAGCCGACCUGAGAGGGUGAUCGGCCACAUUGGGACUGAGACACGGCCCAAACUCCUACGGGAGGCAGCAGUAGGGAAUCUUCCGCAAUGGACGAAAGUCUGACGGAGCAACGCCGCGUGAGUGAAGAAGGUUUUCGGAUCGUAAAACUCUGUUGUCAGAGAAGAACAAGUUGGAGAGUAACUGCUCCAGCCUUGACGGUAUCUGACCAGAAAGCCACGGCUAACUACGUG